GACAGAGGGUGCAAACGUUGUUCGGAAUUACUGGGCCUAAAGCGCACGUAGGUGGUCCGCUAAGUCGCGUGUGAAAUCCCCCGGCUCAACCGGGGAAAUGCGCGUGAUACUGGCGGGCUUGAGAUCGGGAGGGGUGAAUGGAACUCCAGGUGGAGCGGUGAAAUGCGUAGAUAUCUGGAGGAACACCGGUGGCGAAAGCGGUUCACUGGCCCGACACUGACACUGAGGUGCGAAAGCUAGGGUAGCAAACGGG
rnacentral:rRNA from 1 species